rnacentral:rRNA from 1 species
GACAGAGGGUGCAAACGUUGUUCGGAAUUACUGGGCGUAAAGCGCGUGUAGGCUGCUCAGAAAGUCGGAUGUGAAAGCCCUGGGCUUAACCUAGGAAGUGCAUUCGAAACUUCUGAGCUAGAGUUCUGGAGAGGAAGGCGGAAUUCUCGGUGUAGAGGUGAAAUUCGUAGAUAUCGAGAGGAACACCGGUGGCGAAGGCGGCCUUCUGGACAGUGACUGACGCUGAGACGCGAAAGCGUGGGGAGCGAACAGG